rnacentral:rRNA from 1 species
UGGCGGACGGGUGAGUAAUGUCUGGGAAACUGCCUGAUGGAGGGGGAUAACUACUGGAAACGGUAGCUAAUACCGCAUAACGUCGCAAGACCAAAGAGGGGGACCUUCGGGCCUCUUGCCAUCGGAUGUGCCCAGAUGGGAUUAGCUAGUAGGUGGGGUAAAGGCUCACCUAGGCGACGAUCCCUAGCUGGUCUGAGGGGAUGACCAGCCACACUGGAACUGAGACACGGUCCAG